rfam:Glossina morsitans morsitans, isolate Yale, WGS project CCAG01000000 data, contig: ctg10013562
GGUAAUUUGAGUGGUAGAUGGUGUCAUUCCAGUGCUUGACACUGGAAUCCAGGAAUUUGGAUUGGGCACUAAGUUAGUGAGCAUAAAAGUGGCUGAUCUUAUGUUAAAACACAACGUUCUUGAUGAGAUUACGGCAAGGCUGGAUUCCAGUGUCAAGCACUGGAAUGACACCAUUUGCUGUGCAGUUU